rnacentral:rRNA from 1 species
UACGUAGGGGGCGAGCGUUGUCCGGAUUCAUUGGGCGUAAAGAGCUCGUAGGCGGCUUGCUAAGUCGGGUGUGAAAUCCUCAGGCUCAACCUGGGGUCGCCACGUCGAUACUGGUAUGGCUUGAGUCCGGUAGGGGAUCGACGGAAUUCCUGGUGUAGCGGUGAAAUGCGCAGAUAUCAGGAGGAACACCGGUGGCGAAGGCGGUGAUCUGGGCCGGUACUGACGCUGAGGAGCGAAAGCGUGGGGAGCAAACAGG